UACGUAGGGUGCAAGCGUUGUCCGGAAUUAUUGGGCGUAAAGAGCUUGUAGGCGGUUUGUCGCGUCUGCUGUGAAAUUUCGGGGCUCAACCCCGAACUUGCAGUGGGUACGGGCAGACUAGAGUGUGGUAGGGGGAGACUGGAAUUCCUGGUGUAGCGGUGAAAUGCGCAGAUAUCAGGAAGAACACCCGUGGCGAAGGCGGUUCUCUGGAACGCAACUGACGCUGAGACGCGAAAGCGUGGGGAGCAAACAGG
rnacentral:rRNA from 1 species